GAGAAUAAUCGAGUGAAGUAGCUACAGCCUUUUGUGUCUUCUUGCAUAGGUGAAGAAUGUGUCAUACCUAGAUUAUGGGCCUUCCCAGUGGACAGAAGUGGUGUCCUGGGGCUAUUGGUCGUCAGGUUAUUGCAAAGGCUCCAAGUCAUCUUCCCAAAGCAAGGGCUUAAAUUCCUGGGAAGCUGAAUUUGUAUUGUUACCUGUUCCAUCUUGAAAAGAAAAAUACCCCAUCACUUCAGAGUGCAUUUCCCCCACUUGGUUUGUUUGCUUUUUGCUAGUUCACAUUAUGUUUCCCAAGCACUCAAAAGCAUAACCCAAGGUUGCAGUUUAAAUACAGUUCCUUCAGCAGUUAGCUCCUCCAUUGCCAUGUUGGGGGGGGUUAGUUGCUUGUAUGACCCACUAAUGAUGAUGAAUGUUCUCCCCCCCCCCAAUAACUGUGCAAUUGGCACGGGAGGCAUUUUAAAAGGGUGAGCACUUCCCAACUGCAUUGUCUGAGCUUCACUUUUUAAAGUGGAAAACUCAGGAAAGAUUGUCUCCUUCCUCCCAGCCUUAAGGAUGUGUUCUCAAGUGCAUCAUCAGGCUUUUAAAAGAGAGAGAGAAACAAAUUGAUUCCCCUUAACCUGCUCUUGCCACCCUAAAUUAGACAACUGCUUUCUGUAAUAUUUUGCUUGUUUUCCUAGAUACUGAAAUCCCUUUUGAUGCAUCCACAGCUCACAGCCACACGGGUUUUAUAUUUUCGGAUAGGUGGGAUCAAUUCUUAUAUGGUUGUUCUUUCUUCCCAGCAGUGCUAGGUGCAACCUGAAACCUUCAGAGCCCCUAUCAGAGCCUCGCUUGAAUGUCUGCUACCUUCUCCCAUGUUCCAUCUUGAGACUGAGACCAAAUGAAGAUCUUGUGGCUUCACUAUCAGACAACUUCCCUCCCUCCGACUUGGCUUCUUAUGUAGCCUGAUGAAAAAUCUGGAGAAUUCAAAAUCUUGCAGACAAUUUUGUGACAUUCUGGUUG